AUUCAUUGAUUAAUUGUUAGAAAUAAUAUACUUGAACUCUGGUAAGAGUCUGAGAUUUGAAUGGAAUUUUAAAUAGAAUGUGGAUGAUAUCAUCAAGGGAGAAUGUGGAGAAAGAGCCAAGGCUCUUUUAUGGCCAAGUUCAGAACUUUGGGGGAUGUCUAUGAUUAAGGAGUGUAAAAAGGAUGAGAUGCCAAAAAUGGGAACUGAAAUGUAUCAGGCAGAGAGGCAAGAGGAGAAUCAGAUGAGAGUAAAGUCUCAGAAGUCAAAUAAAAGAAGAAUAUGAAGGAGAGCUGAUUACCCUCCUUUAGCUAAACCAUUUCCCAAGUUAUUCUACAUCUGAAUUCCUCUGCCUAUCAAUUGGGAAGGAUAGUACAAGGCAUGACUAAACAUCUACAGUAGCAUCAAGAGAUCUCCCACAUAGCCUGUUCUCCAUCAUGACCAUCCUCCUGCUUCUCAAUUUCCUGACUGAAAUGUAGUGUCCAGAAUGGAAAAUAAGACUGAAGUUGAGGUCUGACUAUGGCAGAAUAUAACUGGACUUUCAUCUUGUUCAUUUCCACAAUGUCAUAUAUUAUGCUUUUGGCAUUAAAAAAAGACUCUUCAACAAAAUCCACCAGUUUCUGGCAGAAGAUUUGGAUGCCCAGUUCUCUGCUAUGGAUAUUAUUCAUUAGUCAGCACACUCUUUUCCUCAGCCUUCCUUCCCAAAAUGAUUCAAUGAUGCAUAAAGAAUUCACAUCAUGUUUGAGGCUAAUGGAGUAAAAUUGAGUUGUCAAUCUGUGAGACAGGAUAAGGAGACUGGGACCUGGAGAGUUGAGUGAUCUAUGAAAGGCUACAUAUGUUAAGUGACUUAUAUACCUUAAGUGACAUGGUUGGUACUUGAAUACAGAUCUUGUGACUCCAGAUCUACUUUCUCUCCUCAGUACCCUGUGUUGACACACAAUAGACCUGCAUCUGGGAACAAGUGAAGCAAUCAGGCUGGAAGCUCAAGUGACUGGCCCAUGGUCCAACAGCAAAUAAAUGAAGAGACCUGAUUUGGGGAUUUUGCCUAUAAAAAGGGAGCUGGGAUGGCAUCAGCCAAAAUAUAAUGGCUUCACACCCUACCUGCAGACCGGAGUAAGGAACUGGGUAGCCUACAACCAUAUUUAUAGAACCAAAGAAUCUGUUAGAGGAUUUCAAAGGUCAUCUUUCUCACCUUUUACCCCUUCCAUUCCAGAUAACUAGCCUCCAAUCUAUGCUGACAGGCAAUGUAAUAGGGUCAUUUCCCCAUAGCUUGCUUUCCUCCAAUCAACAACAACCAUACCUUAGCCGGGCUUCACAGGAUAUAAGAUCACCACUGUACAAAACUAUGAUCUUCCCAACAAAUCACUCCAAUGAAAAGUGCAACUUGACAACGAUUUCCCAUAACUAUCCAUCAUAUAUUCUAUAUUCCAGCCAACUUUAGCGACUGGAUGGUCCCCUGUAUUUGAAAUUCUAUCUCCUGUCUUCAUAUUUUUGUGUAAACAGUUUCUCCCCAAACUUCCCUAUCACUGACUCCUGGAAUACCUAAGUCCCUUUAAAGGUUAGCUUAAAUGAUACUUUGUAUUAGGACUUUUCAUGACUCCAUCAGCUAUUAGUACAGCUCUCUCCCCACUUACUUUGUAUAUAUUUUAUAUUGACCCAUCUCUGUGCAUGUAGUCUCCCCUAAUGAAAAAAAUAAGGUACUUUGGGGGCAGCAACUGUCCCUUUUUUUCUUUGUUUCCCUAGUACCUAAUCCAGUGCCUAGCACAAAAUGACUGUUGAAUUGAAUUAAACUGAUAAGGCAUAUUUAAUAAAACAGACUCAACUUUCUGCUAUGAGGCAGUCAAUUUCAUAUAACUCUAAAAAGAGCUGGAGUAAAGUAGAAAGAACAUUAAAAUAAUAUCUACCAGAAACCUUGAUUCUAACUCCAGGUCUGCUACUAACUAGUUGUGUGACCUAGGGCAAACUACUUCAUCUCUCUUGGCCUGACUGUUUCUUCAAUUUUAAUAUGAAGGUAUUGGACCCGAUGAUGUCUAAGAUCCCUUCCAGCUCAAAAUGCUUUGAUUCUAUAAUUGUAUAGAAAAGUGAUAGCCUGGACAAGAAACAGUGACUUAUGCUAAACUAUAUAAUGGUUACAUGGAUAGGAGCAAUGAUCUAAGGGCGCUAACUCAAAAUCUGCCCUCCACAAAAAUCUACACCUCCCCCCUUUUUUAAUCAAAAAGUAAAUAUAGAUUGAAGUGAAUUUGGAUUAGAGGCCAAAAGAGGUGACUAGGGGUAUGAAGUUAAUUCUUGGAUUCUUCAAUGAAAGUUGACUCUAGAUUCUUGGACAUUCUAUUAUCCAGAUGAUGCUCAGAAAGUGUGAUUUGGGCCAGCUAUGGUCAUUAA